CGGGACGGGGUGAGUAAUGUCUGGGAAACUGCCUGAUGGAGGGGGGUAACUACUGGAAACGGUAGCUAAUACCGCAUAACGUCGCAAGACCAAGAGGGGACCUUCGGGCCUCUUGCCAUCGGAUGUGCCCAGAUGGGAUUAGCUAGUAGGUGGGGUAACGGCUCACCUAGGCGACGAUCCCUAGCUGGUCUGAGAGGAUGACCAGCCACACUGGAACUGAGACACGGUCCAG
rnacentral:rRNA from 1 species